GGGGCUAUAGCUCAGCUGGGAGAGCGCCUGCCUUGCACGCAGGAGGUCAGCGGUUCGAUC
rnacentral:tRNA from 1 species